CUAACUCUGAUUCAGAGGAAGAGAAGUUACACUCCACUUCUGGAUUGGAAAGGAAGAAUCUGUGGCUAUUUAUUGUGAUCUGCACAGAAAGAGAGGAGAAUGGAUAUUGUGGGACAACCACCAAUCUCUCAUUUUAUCAUGAGAAAUACUACACUACCCCCUCAAUGUCUAUUGUUUGAGACUGGUUAUGACUAACUUCCUGCAUUCCAUCUUCACCUGGGUGUGUCUUAAGAUGUCUAAAAUUCAACAUAUUCCAAACAUAACUUAUAAUUUAUCUCCCACACAUAACAAAACAAAGCUUGUCCUCCUACAGUAUAUGACACAAUAACCCUUCCAGUUAGUUACUCAAUACAAAUAGCUGGAAGUCCUCUUUGUCAACUCCUUCUCUAUUACUUUCUCAUAUUCAAACUAUAGCCAAGUUCUGUUGGUUUCAUUUCCUAAAUAUCUCUGGAAUCCACCUACAUGUCUUGAUCUCCACUGACACUAUCUAAGUCCAAGGGACCAGGCAUCCAUUCUUGCCUCCUCCAAGCUGUUUUUCAUAUUACAGCUAAAGUGAUGAAAAUAUAAAUUUCAUCAUGUUACUCUCUAGUUUACAAGCUUUCACUGGUCCUUGUAUUCUUGGGAUGGAAAUAAAUACUUUACACAUGGCCUGCAAGAUCCUGCAUGAUCUUGGCUCCUACUAUUCUCUCUCUCUCUCUCCUCACUGCAGUAUAUAGCUUCAGAGGAAGGCAGAAUAAUGUAGUUUUAAAGCAAUUCAUAACCCAAGAUGACCAAUUGCUCCUCAGGCCACCAACACCAUCAUUCUCAAUGUUAUCAGCUUGAUAUGCCACAGGCUCAUCAUAGGUCCUUUUUUAUGGGAAACUGGAACGUCUGUCUGUUGUUCCUCUUCUUUCUCUGGCCAAAGAAGAUAAAGUCAGAAGGGUAACACCAGAGAAAACAAGAAUUCAGAGACAAUACAUAGUGUAUCAGGUGGAGUUCUUGACUGCAAGCAAAAUAAACCACUUCUGGCUAACUGAAACAAGAAGGGAAUAUACUGGAAUAUCAGGAAGCUCAGAAACCAUUGUGAAGCCCAGAGUCCUACCUGGCUCCUUAACACUACUGGCACUGAGAGUCAACUACAGUACCUUUUUGCUGCUCCUGAGUGAGUACUCCCCCCUACACUUCUGCAAUCC
rnacentral:lncRNA from 12 species